rnacentral:rRNA from 1 species
GAUGAACGCUGGCGGCGUGCUUAACACAUGCAAGUCGAACGGAAAGGCUCCUGCUUGCAGGGGUACUCGAGUGGCGAACGGGUGAGUAACACGUGGGUGAUCUGCCCUGCACUUCGGGAUAAGCCUGGGAAACUGGGUCUAAUACCGGAUAGGACCACAUUUUGGAUGGUGUGGUGGAAAGUUUUUCGGUGUGGGAUGAGCUCGCGGCCUAUCAGCUUGUUGGUGGGGUAAUGGCCUACCAAGGCGUCGACGGGUAGCCGGCCUGAGAGGGUGUACGGCCACACUGGGACUGAGAUACGGCCCAGACUCCUACGGGAGGCAGCAGUGGGGAAUAUUGCACAAUGGGCGCAAGCCUGAUGCAGCGACGCCGCGUGGGGGAUGACGGCCUUCGGGUUGUAAACUCCUUUCGCUAGGGACGAAGCGCAAGUGACGGUACCUGGAGAAGAAGCACCGGCUAACUACGUG